rnacentral:rRNA from 1 species
AGUGAACGCUGGCGGUAGGCCUAACACAUGCAAGUCGAACGGCAGCACAGGAGAGCUUGCUCUCUGGGUGGCGAGUGGCGGACGGGUGAGGAAUACAUCGGAAUCUACUCUGUCGUGGGGGAUAACGUAGGGAAACUUACGCUAAUACCGCAUACGACCUACGGGUGAAAGCAGGGGACCUUCGGGCCUUGCGCGAUUGAAUGAGCCGAUGUCGGAUUAGCUAGUUGGUGGGGUAAAGGCCCACCAAGGCGACGAUCCGUAGCUGGUCUGGGAGGAUGAUCAGCCGCACUGGCACUGAGACACGGGCCAGACUCCUACGGGAGGCAGCAGUGGUGAAUAUUGGACAAUGGGCGCAAGACUGAUCCAGCCAUACCGCGUGGGUGAAGAAGGCCUUCGGGUUGUAAAGCCCUUUUGUUGGGAAAGAAAUCCAGCUGGCUAAUACCCGGUUGGGAUGACGGUACCCAAAGAAUAAGCACCGGCUAACUUCGUGCCAGCCGCCGCGGUAA